rnacentral:rRNA from 1 species
AGUGAACGCUGGCGGCGUGCCUAAUACAUGCAAGUCGAACGGAGUGGCGCACGGGUGAGCAAUAUAUAGCUAAUCUGACCCUUGCUGGCGGACCACAGUUAGAACUGACUGCUAAUACUCCAUAGCAAGGGAUGAGACUAUAUCGUAUCAGCUAGUCGGUAGGGUAACGGCCUCCCGAGGCUAUGACGCGUAACUGGUCUGAGAGGAUGAUCAGUCACAUGGGAACUAGAACACGGUUCAGACUCCUACGGGAGGCAGCAGGAGGGAACAUUGCUCAAUGGGGCAAACCCUGACGCAGCAACGCCGGGUGGAGGAUGACACUUUUCAGUGCGUAAACGCCUUUUGUUAGGGAAGCGUUACCGAACUAAUAAGCACCGGCUGACUCCGUGCCAGCAGCCGCGGUAAUUC